UGCCAGCAGCCGCGGUAAUACGGAGAGUGCAAGCGUUGUUCGGAAUCAUUGGGCGUAAAGGGCGUCUAGGUGGCCCGCCAAGCCAGAUGUGAAAUCCCUCGGCUCAACCGAGGAACUGCAUUUGGAACUGGCGAGCUCGAGUGCUGGAGGGGCUAGCGGAAUUCCCGGUGUAGGGGUGAAAUCCGUAGAUAUCGGGAGGAACACCAGUGGCGUAGGCGGCUGGCUGGCCAGACACUGACACUGAAGCGCGAAAGCAUGGGGAGCAAACAGGAUUAGAUA
rnacentral:rRNA from 1 species